GAUUAAAUGGCUGAAAAUAGGUAAUAGAUUGUAAAUCUAUGUAUGAAGGUUACUUCUUUAAUCA
rnacentral:tRNA from 1 species